rnacentral:lncRNA from 1 species
AGAGAGAGAGAGAAAUUUAAACAAAAAUAGGCAAAUAUCGAUCAAAAUUUGAAUCACAAAGAAAAAAAAUAUCGAAAGCAAAUGGAGGGGUUACAACGUUGUAGAUAUUGGUUUAAUGGAGUUUAUUUCUUUUUCCAUUCUUUGAGGUUAGUACUAUUGAUCCUAUAAAUCUUAUACAUCAAGAUUUUUGGCCGUUAAAUCUUGUUUAAUGGAACUUGAGUAAGAAUUUAACUUGCAAAAUUUUUGGUGUAUAUAUUGCUAGGAUACUGGGGAGCAUAUUAAAAACUCUUACGAAUUUGACAUGUGACGAAAAUUGCUAGUUAUUAGUACGAAAAUUGGUAGUUAUUUGUAAUUUUCCCUUGUUAUGUAAUUUGCCUUUGUCUGUAGUUCUGCGGGCAUAGGUAAGUGGCUGUUGGUCCAACUAAUCCAAUUUGUUGGAGAUAUUUUCAGCUGGUGGUUCAUGUUGGUGUUGCAUCGUGUGGAAAGGACAAUGGAAGCCAUGGUCGCAUGCUUUGCCGCACGGUUGAUGCUCACAGCAUAGCAAUGGAUAUACGCUACAUGUUUGGUGGGCGGAAGAUUCCCC